CAUUAGAUGGCUGAAAGUAAGCCCUGGUCUCUUAAACCAUUAUAUAGUAGUUAACAUUUACUUCUAGUG
rnacentral:tRNA from 1 species